CACUCUUUAAUCAUCUUUCUUCUGUAAUCUUUUUCUGUUUAACACUGUGAAGGUGUUUAACUUUAAUUAGGUGAGCACUUCCCGACUCCUCCAGCUUGUAUGCCACACUGCAGAAUGUAACACUCAAAAGCACAGCAAGACGCUUUCCCAGUUCCUGUCAAAGGGGGAAGGAAUGACAUGUUUGAAGAAACAUGAGAGUAGUGCCAAACAACAGCCUCAUGUUAUCAACUGCCCCCCUCCCCCCCCACUCCUUUGUAACACCCAGGACAAUUUGCCUUGAUGCCAUCAUCAUGUGCAGUUCCAUUCUCUCACUCCAAAUCACUGGCUGCUGCUAUUGAGGGCAGAGAAAUGCACAGAGUACACAAUUAAGGAACCUGGAACUUAGGGGGAGGGGAAAAAACUGAAGGAAGUGGUUACAAAGGGAAAUGGUGGGGGAGAGAUUGACAACCCUUUGAGGAAAGUUGUAAGAAAAUUUUGAUAACAUCUGCAAAGAUUUUCAAAGAUAUCUCAAUGGACCAUACUACAUAUGAGGAUGGAAAAGGAUGAUGCCCUGUCCCAAAGGGGCUCAUAAUCUGCAAAGAAACUAGGCCUUUCCCCUGGAAAAGAUGCUGGGAGGAACUAUACAUACUAGAUGUCCUUGCGUGCCAUCCUGACUUCCCUGCACAUUGUCCCAGGUGGCCCUGUGGGCUCCAGUUAAAGUAGAAGAGCCCUCCCCUGCAAUGCCAGAUAUGUGAGGGACUGCACUGAAAGUGGCCAUUGUUGUGCAGCACCUAGGAUGUAUGUGUAUGCUGCAGAUUCAAUGGGACUAGAUCAUCCUAUGCAUAGUCCUAAAAGAAACACACCAGCAACAGCCACUGGAAGGAACACUAUGCGGGGAUGAUCAGUUGCUACUCCCCUGCUAAAUAUAAGCCAGCACAUUAAAAGUGUCUCUUUGCCCAGUCAGCAGGGCACAAAUUUGAAGCAUAUUUGGGGGUUCCUCCUGAGGACAGACAUCUGAAGAAUGUAUAGAUAAUCCAAGCCACUUUGGAUAAAUGAUGCUGAAGGCAGGCCAUCUGGCACAUGGGUCAACCCAGCUUGGUUAAAAACUUGAUUGUUGGACAGCCUGCUUGC